CCACGGGCACGGUGAUGACGGUGACGAGCGCAGCUAUCCCCAGCAGUCCCAGGAGCACCUUCCACGGUGUCUGCAAGCCGGGCAGAUCACUUCCAGUUAGAGCCAGUCGCUUGGCCCCAGUUUGGGGAGGAAGCCUGAGCACAGGAGGUUAAGUCACUUGGCCAAGUCAAGGCAGCUAGGAAGUCGUGGAGCCUGAAUUCAGAGUCCAUGUUCUCAACCACUACACCCCAUGGCCUUUCAUCUUUCAGUCUUGCAAAGAGGAUUUGGAAAAAAGCGAUAGGUCCCCACGAUGCCCUGUAGGUUCCCCUAUCAUUCCUUUUUUCCUUCUUCAUCCAUCCCUACAUUCUCCCCUUUAUUUCACCCAUUCUACAAAUAUUUGAGUGGAUACAAAAUACCAGACUAUCGUCUAGAUGCUGGAGGUAGAGAAGUGGGAUGACAUUGAUGACGUUUGUGCACCUGGCACUUUCAGUCUGAAACACAUAGGUGAAACUUUGCAGGGAGGGCCCCUCUAUGCUUACUUCCCUCUUGUGGAUAAGUACUCCUCCUCCCUAAAAGGCCUCUUCAGCCCAUUCACUCAGAUGCAGAACAAAGCCUUUCUGUCCAAAAAGAGAUAGAGGAUUAAAAACACAAAGUCCUAGGGGGCAAUUAACACAUGAUUAUGAAUAAAUUCCAUUCUCUAUCCUUCAUCUCCAGUCCAGACAGUGCUUCUGAAUGCAGGGAUCUUUUCCCCUCUGGCUAUAAACAAGUUGCUUAUGACACAUCCACUCCUCCACACCCACUUCGGAAGCUCAAACCGGAACUCUUCAUCCUUUCCAUCAGCCUCACCCAGCCCUUCUCUUAUCAUCUCUGUCGUCAUGAAACGUGUCCCCACUCACCAGUUACACAAACUAAAGACUUUAGCCAUAUCAUUUUUCCUUCUUUAUUCGCCUGCUGCAUUCACUUGACCAUCAAUCAAUUCCUCUCAAUUCUGCCUUUAUGAGUAUUUCUCAAAUCCAGCCCUUCCUCCUUCUUCAAGCUGCUGGGGACAGUGAGUCAGUAGAGUUAUUGCAGCCUGGCAUCUGGAGCUGGGAAGAGAGGCCCUCCAGCAAGGACUGCAGGGAAUGGUGCCAUACCGGGGGCUCAGUAUUGGCCUAUGCUCUCCCUGGUUUGUACACUCAGGAAUGGAGGAGGGAAGUCCAUAUGGUUGAGCACAUGCUUAACCUCCAUACCUGCACCAUGACAUUAUAUAUUAAGCCACCCCUGGGGAAGUGGGGGGAAGUUGGCUGGCAUCCGUGGGGCAGAUCAU